rnacentral:ncRNA from 12 species
CUGUUGCAAGUCGUGUCGUUCUGAGAGUAUACGGUUGAACUUGAUCUGGACAAUUCCAGCGAAAGGACUCGUGCAUGCUUUUUC